rnacentral:sRNA from 1 species
UGAGGCUUCCUGACUGGCGCCGAUACUCUGGCAACAGAGCGUGGGAUGCCGGAAAGUUGGUCAAACUUGAUCAUUUAGAGGAAGUAAAAGUCGUAACAAGGUUUCCGUAGGUGAACCUGCGGAAGGAUCAUUACCGAAAAAAAACCAAUGUUGAACACAACAACACUGUGUGAACCGUACCAAACCUUUCUGAGGGGUCGGCCCGGGGGGCCGUUAAAUGGCGAUCGGACGGAGGCCAGGGUGUGUCUCGCGGCCGCUUCGCCUGCCCCGGCCUUGUUUUCAUUUUUACGUACGCUUCUUGUGGAUGAAAAACAAAAGACAACAGAAAUGAGAGACAACUUUUGACGGUGGAUCUCUUGGCUCACGCAUCGAUGAAGAACGCAGCCAGCUGCGAUAAGUAGUGUGAAUUGCAGAAUUCAGUGAAUCAUCGAAUCUUUGAACGCAAAUGGCGCUCUUGGGUUCUCCCAGGAGCAUGUCUGUCUGAGUGUCGGAUUGUCAUCCAUCGCGGGCGUGCGUGCGCGCCGGCGGCGUUGGGGCGUCACGGCCUUGUGGCAACAUUAGGCCGUGUCCCUCGAAGGGCAGAGAGACUCGCUGUGGUUGGUUGGGGGCUUGUUUGUUCCCGCAGCGCAGCAGCGGAGGCUAAAAGUGUCAGCACUCCUUCGCGGCGGCGCGCCACCAGAGUCGCAGGCGAAGUAAAGCAGAUUAUGCUAUCAUCCUCUGACCUCAGAUCAGGCAAGGCUACCCGCUGAAUUUAAGCAUAU